rnacentral:lncRNA from 1 species
UGGAAAUGCAGAGCAGAGCCACAUAUGGCCAUGUCACUCAGGCUCACGGCAGAAGAGACUUCCCUUGUCUUAGAUGAGACUUCAGACUUGGACUUUUGGGUUAAUGCUAGAAUAAGUUAAACUUUGGGAGACUGUUGGGAAGGCAUGAUUGAGUUUUUAAAUGUGAGAAGGCCAUGAGAUUUGGGAGGGGCUGGGGGUGUAAUGAUAUGGUUUGGCUCUUUUUCCCCACCCAAAUCUCUUCUCUAAUUGUAAUCCACAUGUAUCAAGGGAGGGACCUGGUGGGAGGUGAUUGAAUCAUGAGGCAGUUUCCCCUAUACUGUUCUCAUGAUAGUGAAUGAGUUCUUAUGGGAUCUGAUUGUUUAAAAAUAUAGCACUUUC